rnacentral:rRNA from 1 species
GACGAACGCUGGCGGCGUGCUUAACACAUGCAAGUCGAACGGAAAGGCCCUGCUUUUGUGGGGUUCUCGAGUGGCGAACGGGUGAGUAACACGUGAGUAACCUGCCCUUGACUUUGGGAUAACUUCAGGAAACUGGGGCUAAUACCGGAUAGGAGCUCCUGCUGCAGGGUGGGGGUUGGAAUGUUUCGGCGGUUGGGGAUGGACUCGCGGCUUAUCAGCUUGUUGGUGGGGUAGUGGAUUACCAAGGCUUUGACGGGUAGCCGGCCUGAGAGGGUGACCGGCCACAUUGGGACUGAGAUACGGCCCAGACUCCUACGGGAGGCAGUAGUGAGGAAUGUUGCACAAUGGGCGGAAGCAUGAUGCAGCAACGCCGCGUGCGGGAUGACGGCCUUCGGGUUGUAAACCGCUUUCGCCUGUGACGAAGCGUGAGUGACGGUAAUGGGUAAAGAAGCACCGGCUAACUACGUG